rnacentral:rRNA from 1 species
GACGAACGCUGGCGGCGUGCCUAAUACAUGCAAGUUGAGCGCUGAAGGUUGGUACUUGUACCAACUGGAUGAGCAGCGAACGGGUGAGUAACGCGUGGGGAAUCUGCCUUUGAGCGGGGGACAACAUUUGGAAACGAAUGCUAAUACCGCAUAAAAACUUUAAACACAAGUUUUAAGUUUGAAAGAUGCAAUUGCAUCACUCAAAGAUGAUCCCGCGUUGUAUUAGCUAGUUGGUGAGGUAAAGGCUCACCAAGGCGAUGAUACAUAGCCGACCUGAGAGGGUGAUCGGCCACAAUGGGACUGAGACACGGCCCAAACUCCUACGGGAGGCAGCAGUAGGGAAUCUUCGGCAAUGGACGAAAGGCUGACCGAGCAACGCCGCGGGAGUGAAGUAGGGUUUCGGAUCGUAAAACUCUGUUGGUAGAGAAGAAAGUUGGUGAGAGUGGAAAGCUCAUCAAGUGACGGUAACUACCCAGAAAGGGACGGCUAACUACGUG